CUGACCAUCUUCGGCAGCACAUAUACUAAAAUUGGAAUGAUACAGAGAAGGUUAGCAUGGUCCCUGCACAAGGAUGACAUGCAAAUUGGGAGGAGGGAUAGCUCAGUGGU
rnacentral:snRNA from 1 species